GAACUUGUGUGAGUGUAAUAUUUACUGUUCACUUUUUAUUGUUUAUUUCACUUUUGUUUAUCAAUUUCACUUGCUUGGGCAAUGUUAACAUAUGUUUCCCUGCCAAUAAAGCCUCUUGAAUGUAAUUGAGAGAGAGUGUAUUUUAUUUGCAGCCACUAGUUUCAGGUCAGCUCCCCAUUUCAGUCUUUGCUAAUAAAGAUCAGUCACCUUUCCUGUUAGUGAGUUGAAUUGAAACAGUUGUAUAUUACCUGGGGAAAUUCUAAAAGCCAUGACGUUGUCCUGUAAAGUAUGUCUGUCCUGUACUGUGUGUCUGAUUCAAAACUGCUGUCCUGUCCUAGAGAGAGAGAGGGACUUUGUAGUUGAGAACAAGUUAAAACACUAACGUGUGUCUGCAAAACCUUUCUGAGUGUAAAGAAAUGGAAGGUGUAAUGGAAGUAAUAAAUAUUAGAAUGUGUUGUUGAUAAAAUGUGUUUGAUAUAUAUCCUGUCUCUCUAAUUCAGAUUUCUACUCUGAUGUAUUCAGUUGUUUUAGUUGUGAUGUGGAUCUUCUCCAGCCUGAGGGAUGUACGUGUGUUUCCGACACUACCAUGGUGACUCCUAAAGUGGGUUCUAUCUGCAACAAAACAAGGAUCGCGUCCCAAAUGCCACCCUGUUAUUCCCUAUUUAGUUCACCAUAGAACCCAUAGGGCCCUGGUCGUAAGUAGUGCACUACAUGGGGCAUAGGGGGCCAUUCAGGACGUAGCCACGGUGUGUGUAUUCAGGGGUGACAUCCCCUCUCCCCUCUGUUGGGUUUAAUGAUGCCAGAUCCUUUACUCAGACACUAGGUACAGUAGACUGUGUUUCUGUUGGGUUUAAUGAUGCCAGAUCCUUUACUCAGACACUAGGUACAGUAGACUGUGUUUCUGUUGGGUUUAAUGAUGCCAGAUCCUUUACUCAGACACUAGGUACAGUAGACUGUGUUUCUGUUGGGUUUAAUGAUGCCAGAUCCUUUACUCAGACACUAGGUACAGUAGACUGUGUUUCUGUUGGGUUUAAUGAUGCCAGAUCCUUUACUCAGACACUAGGUACAGUAGACUGUGUUUCUGUUGGGUUUAAUGAUGCCAGAUCCUUUACUCAGACACUAGGUACAGUAGACUGUGUUUCUGUUGGGUUUAAUGAUGCCAGAUCCUUUACUCAGACACUAGGUACAGUAGACUGUGUUUCUGUUGGGUUUAAUGAUGCCAGAUCCUUUACUCAGACACUAGGUACAGUAGACUGUGUUUCUGUUGGGUUUAAUGAUGCCAGAUCCUUUACUCAGACACUAGGUGCAGUAGACUGUUGAUGGGUUGCUGGUUAGUUACGUAAUGUCACCAUCAUCAGUCACCUUUGUCACAGUCUGGGAAUAUGGUUCAGAAUGACUUGUCACAGUCUGGGAAUAUGGUUCAGAAUGACUUGUCACAGUCUGGGAAUAUGGUUCAGAAUGACUUGUCACAGUCUGGGAAUAUGAUUCAGUAGGACUUGUCACAGUCUGGGAAUGUGGUUCAGAAUGACUUGUCACAGUCUAGGAAUGUGGUUCAGUAGGACUUGUCACAGUCUGGGAAUGUGGUUCAGUAGGACUUGUCACAGUCUGGGAAUGUGGUUCAGUAGGACUUGUCACAGUCUGGGAAUGUGGUUCAGUAGGACUUGUCACAGUCUGGGAAUGUGGUUCAGAAUGACUUGUCACAGUCUGGGAAUAUGAUUCAGUAGGACUUGUCACAGUCUGGGAAUAUGGUUCAGUAGGACUUGUCACAGUCUGGGAAUAUGAUUCAGUAGGACUUGUCACAGUCUGGGAAUGUGGUUCAGUAGGACUUGUCACAGUCUGGGAAUGUGGUUCAGUAGGACUUGUCACAGUCUGGGAAUGUGGUUCAGUAGGACUUGUCACAGUCUGGGAAUAUGGUUCAGUAGGACUUGUCACAGUCUGGGAAUAUGAUUCAGUAGGACUUGUCACAGUCUGGGAAUAUGAUUCAGUAGGACUUGUCACAGUCUGGGAAUAUGGUUCAGUAGGACUUGUCACAGUCUGGGAAUAUGAUUCAGUAGGACUUGUCACAGUCUGGGAAUAUGGUUCAGUAGGACUUGUCACAGUCUGGGAAUAUGAUUCAGUAGGACUUGUCACAGUCUGGGAAUAUGAUUCAGUAGGACUUGUCACAGUCUGGGAAUAUGAUUCAGUAGGACUUGUCACAGUCUGGGAAUGUGGUUCAGUAGGACUUGUCACAGUCUGGGAAUAUGGUUCAGUAGGACUUGUCACAGUAAACUGCCAAUAGAUAUCUGUGUGAAAUGUGCCAAAUAAUCCCGACUGUUGUGUUAUUACCAAACUCCCCAAUAAGACCCAAACCAGCAGUCAUUUUCCCCGCUGUGUUACAUCCCAAACCAGCAGUCAUUUUCCCCGCUGUGUUACAUCCCAAACCAGCAGUCAUUUUCCCCGCUGUGUUACAUCCCAAACCAGCAGUCAUUUUCCCCGCUGUGUUACAUCCCAAACCAGCAGUCAUUUUCCCCGCUGUGUUACAUCCCAAACCAGCAGUCAUUUUCCCCGCUGUGUUACAUCCCAAACCAGCAGUCAUUUUCCCCGCUGUGUUACAUCCCAAACCAGCAGUCAUUUUCCCCGCUGUGUUACAUCCCAAACCAGCAGUCAUUUUCCCCGCUGUGUUACAUCCCAAACCAGCAGUCAUUUUCCCCGCUGUGUUACAUCCCAAACCAGCAGUCAUUUUCCCCGCUGUGUUACAUCCCAAACCAGCAGUCAUUUUCCCCGCUGUGUUACAUCCCAAACCAGCAGUCAUUUUCCCCGCUGUGUUACAUCCCAAACCAGCAGUCAUUUUCCCCGCUGUGUUACAUCCCAAACCAGCAGUCAUUUUCCCCGCUGUGUUACAUCCCAAACCAGCAGUCAUUUUCCCCGCUGUGUUACAUCCCAAACCAGUAGUCAUUUUUCCCGCUGCGUUACAUCCCAGGCACCAGUAUUAUAACCAAACUCCAAGUAAGAUGUCAAACCCUCUCAACCGUUCUCUCCACGCUGAAGAAAGGCAAGUCAUGUUCCUUUUAAACAUCGCAAAUAAUGAAAACAAUAGAUAAAAAUUCAUAUCAGUUCAUAUCCCGUUUAUUUAUUUUCAAUUAUUUAUUUUAAAUAUAUAAACAGAACUUCAAAGGAAUGUAUAUAUUCUACCUGUAACCCCCCCCCCCCCCUCCCAUAAAAACAUGUCAAACUAAUCUAAAUGUGGUCACAAAACAAACAUUGUUACAAUGUUGACAUUUAUAUAGCUGGUGACGUAGAAUAUAAUUUACAAACCCAGACAUUUAUACAGCUGGUGCUUGUACCCUAGAGACUAGCCCUUAGUUCACACACUUGGUCCCAUCAUUGUGCACUUGGUCCCUUCAUAGUGCACUUGGUCCCUUCAUAGUGCACUUGGUAGUUCACCUCAUAGUGUUUUCCCAGCAGCCCUGCCUUGUUGACUAGUAUGGGUCCAUUCCCACUUGGGCACAGACGUCAAUUCCACGUCUAUUCCACGUUGGCUCAACGUCAUUUCAUUGAAACGACGUAGAAACAACGUUAAUUCAACCGUGGUGUGCUCAGUGGGUUCUUUAGGAGCAGCUCUGUCUAUACAUUACAGCAACACGAUCUCAGGAGGGGAACUGGGCUUUAUCUCCUGGAGAAUAAUACCCUUCAUAAUAAUACUGAUGAACUGCCGUACAAAGCCACGUUGGUUUCUUAUUCUGCUGUUUGUGUUUCCAGGUUUAAAGAGAACCUGUGUGCUGCCUUCCUGUCCUUCUGGGGGGAAACUGUACUCCGCUGGAGAUUUAUUUCUGUAUAAAAAGAGUGUAUUAUUGUGUUUUACCUUUGUAUGUAUAAACACUACGUUAUCAGCCUGUUGGAUUCACUGGCUUUACUUUUA